CCCUUAGAUGUUCGGGGCCGCACGCGCGCUACACUGAAGGAAUCAGCGCGUCUUUCUCCUUGUCCGAAAGGACUGGGUAACCCGCUGAACCUCCUUCGUACUAGGGAUUGGGGCUUGUAAUUCUUCCCCAUGAACGAGGAAUUCCCAGUAAGCGCGAGUCAUAAGCUCGCGUUGAUUACGUCCCUGCCCUUUGUACACACCGCCCGUCGCUACUACCGAUUGGAUGGUUUAGUGAGAUCCUCGGAUUGGUCCCGGCGCGGCCUCUGGUCGUGCCGGAGUGCCGAAAAGAAUGUCGAACUUGAUCAUCUAGAGGAAGUAAAAGUCGUAACA
rnacentral:rRNA from 1 species